UGUGGCUCAGGGGUAGAGCACUUGCCUGUUGUGCAUGAGGCCCUGGGUUCAAUCCCUAGCA
rnacentral:tRNA from 1 species